GGUUGAUAGGUCGGGGGUGUAAGCAUGGUAACAUGUUCAGCUGACCGAUACUAAUAGAUCGAGGGCUUGACCAA
rnacentral:rRNA from 1 species